rnacentral:rRNA from 1 species
UGUCCACGCCAUUGUAACACGUGUGUCGCCCCGGAUGUAAGGGCCGUGCUGAUUUGACGUCAUCCCCGCCUUCCUCGCAGCUUACGCUGGCAGUCCCACCAGAGUCCUCAGCUUUACCUGUUAGUAACUAGUGGCAAGGGUUGCGCUCGUUAUGGCACUUAAGCCGACACCUCACGGCACGAGCUGACGACAACCAUGCAGCACCUCGCAAAUGGCUAUUGCUAGAGAAUGUGUUUCCAGAGCGGUCGAAAUGCGUUCAAACCCGGGUAAGGUUCCUCGCGUAUCAUCGAAUUAAACCACAUGUUCCUCCGCUUGUGCGGGCCCCCGUCAAUUCCUUUGAGUUUCACCGUUGCCGGCGUACUCCCCAGGUGGAUCACUUAACGCUUUCGCUGUGCCGCUUACANGUGUAUCGCAAACAGCUAGUGAUCAUCGUUUACUGCGUGGACUACCAGGGUAUCUAAUCCUGUUUGAUCCCCACGCUUUCGUGCAUCAGCGUCAGUCAUGGCUUGGCAGGCUGCCUUCGCRAUCGGGGUUCUGCGUGAUAUCUAAGCAUUUCACCGCUACACCACGCAUUCCGCCUGCCUCAAACAUACUCAAGCCCCCCAGUUUCAACGGCAAUUCUAUGGUUGAGCCACAGACUUUCACCGCUGACUUAAAAGGCCGCCUACGCACCCUUUAAACCCAAUAAAUCCGGAUAACGCUCGGAUCCUCCGUAUUACCGCGGCUGCUGGCACGGAGUUAGCCGAUCCUUAUUCAUAAGGUACAUACAAAACGGGACACGUCCCGCACUUUAUUCCCUUAUAAAAGAGGUUUACGAUCCAUAGAACCUUCAUCCCUCACGCGACUUGGCUGGUUCAGGCUUACGCCCAUUGACCAAUAUUCCUCACUGCUGCCUCCCGUAGGAGUUUGGUCCGUGUCUCAGUACCAAUGUGGGGGACCUUCCUCUCAGAACCCCUAUCCAUCGUCGGUUUGGUGGGCCGUUACCCCGCCAACUGCCUAAUGGAACGCAUGCCUAUCUAUCAGCGAUGAAUCUUUAGCAAA